GAUGAACGCUGGCGGCGUGCCUAAUACAUGCAAGUCGAGCGAACAGACGAGGAGCUUGCUCCUCUGACGUUAGCGGCGGACGGGUGAGUAACACGUGGAUAACCUACCUAUAAGACUGGGAUAACUUCGGGAAACCGGAGCUAAUACCGGAUAAUAUAUUGAACCGCAUGGUUCAAUAGUGAAAGACGGUUUUGCUGUCACUUAUAGGUGGAUCCGCGCCGCAUUAGCUAGUUGGUAAGGUAACGGCUUACCAAGGCAACGAUGCGUAGCCGACCUGAGAGGGUGGCCGGCCAGACAGGAUGGGAGGCACGGUCGGGACUGCUACGGGGGGCAGCAGCAGGGAAGCGGCCGCAAUGGGGGAAAUCGUAACAGAGCAGCGCGGCGGAAGUGGCGAAGGUGUUCGGGUCGUGAAGGUCUGUUGUUUGGAAAGUCCUUACGUGUAAGAAGAUGUGCUUGUGUUGACGGUAGCGGAAGAAAAAGCCACGGCUAACUACGUG
rnacentral:rRNA from 1 species